rnacentral:lncRNA from 1 species
GAAACACAUUCCUAGACAAAGAUUCAUAGAGCCUGGAAAUAGUUUCAGAAGGAUCUACUGAGCGACUAAACCUACCAGCUCGAAGAAUUGUCUCCAAGAAUGGCUAAGCACAUACGACUGGAGACACCCCAGAAAAGGAGAAAAGUCUGGGCCUCUGUCACUGUCAUUGAGAGCUGCCUUCCGGAUGGACACUGCCCCCCUGCACUCUGGGCUUGGGACCACCCUUCCCUUGGUCAAGCUGAGUGCGAGGAAGGAAUCAUAUGAUCUAAGAUGGGAACUUCAGGGAGCACAUGAAAUCUUGAUUUCCUUUCACAUUCUUCAAAUCAGGACUUAAAUGCUUCUAAUGCUCAAUAAAUAUUGGAGA